ACGUAGGGGGCGAGCGUUGUCCGGAAUUACUGGGCGUAAAGGGCGCGCAGGCGGCCGAUCAAGUUAGAUGUGAAAUACCCGGGCUUAACCUGGGAACUGCAUUUAAAACUGGUUGGCUAGGAGUGCAGGAGAGGGAAGCGGAAUUCCUAGUGUAGCGGUGAAAUGCGUAGAUAUUAGGAGGAACACCAGUGGCGAAGGCGGCUUUCUGGACUGUAACUGACGCUGAGGCGCGAAAGCGUGGGGAGCGAACAG
rnacentral:rRNA from 1 species